rnacentral:lncRNA from 1 species
GUACUCCAUCUAAAUAAGUUUUCAUAUGUAAAAAAGUCAUUUAUGGUCUAUAAAAUCGAAGUAUGCAAUUUAAAAUUUUUUUGGCUGAAAGAAUCAUAUGUCUGUAUUUUAUUUUUUUAUAGCUCCUUCAGAUCAUCGAUUAAGGGUCGUAGAUAUACAUCAAUUUCAUUAUCUGAUACUUUCAGAUCCGAAAUCAACAAUGAUAUAAAAAUAAAUGAUUUUUUCGUGCACUUCAAAGGUAGCACAUUAUAUGGUAUUAGCAUCACAAGCCACAUGCUGUAGGAAGUAUUCAAAUUGCCAAAGGAAUUAAAUCCAUCUGUCACUAGACUAAGCUGGAUAUUGCGUGGGUUGCUCGCAAAGUGCGGAUGCUUUGCAUCGAAGUCUUUUCAUAUCGUAGAGU